rnacentral:rRNA from 1 species
GACGAACGCUGGCGGCAUGCCUAACACAUGCAAGUCGAACGAGACCUUCGGGCCUUUUGGCGCACGGGGGCGUACCGCGUGGGAAGCUGCACUUAGGUUCGCAAUACCUCCCCGAAAGGGGUGCUCAUGCCAGAUAAUGUCUUCCGGCCAAAGAUUUUUGGCCUUUGGGUGGGCCCGGGUUGGAUUCGCUAGUUGGUAGGGGAAAAGCCUACCAAGGCGACGAUCCAUAGCUGGUCUGAGAGGAUGAUCAGCCACACUGGGACUGAGACACGGCCCAGACUCGUACGCGAGGGAGGAGAGGGGAAUAUUGGACGAUGAGCGAAAGCCUGAUCAAGCAACGCGGGGUAAGUGAUGAAGGCCGUAGGGUUGUAAAGUUCUUUGACCCGAGACGAUAAUGACGGUACCGGGUGAAUAAGCACCGGCUAACUACGUG